GGGGCCUGAAGCGCCGCCGGCCUCGCCUACCGUGUAUCACCCGCGGGCCUAUGCUGGUGCCCCUCCUUCAGGGCCUGGCGGGGUGCGGUCUGGAAAUUGUGGUAGCGCGAUGGGAAGGACAGUUCUGUGGACACCGGAGACAGGCGCACUUGAAGUUAGUCCCAGCCCAGAGGAAAACCUGUGCAGGGAAGUAGUAGGCUGACUCACAUAAAAUCAGCAAGUUCUGCAGAUGGAAGAACCUUUGAAGAAUUAGAGCCACCCACUGUUGCAAAUGGAGAAAUUAAGACUUCUGAUUUGGCCAAACUCAUCAAUCAAGUCUGAUCAGGAAGCUGUGCUUCAUGGGAGAAGACUGACUAUCAAGGGUUUAAAAAGGAACAAUAUCCAUGUGUGACCAAUUGUGAUACUUGAUAUUAGUCUCUGACUGCUGCAAAGUGAGCUUCUUUGUGCUGGAGAUUGAACUCAGUGCCUCACACAAGCAGGGACCUUGGAAUGACCAAUCUUGAUAGGUGACUUGACUGAAUUGAGAAGUGCCAAGGAGAUUAGUAAAGCACACGUCGGGGUAUGAUGUGAGGGUGUUUCCACAUAGUGGGGGAAGUUCUGUCCCCAAAUAUGAGUGGCACCACCCAAUAGGUGAUGGCCCUGAUAAAACAAAAGAGGAAGAGAAAGAAGUCAGCUAGUCUGGAUAUUUUCUCUCUUUUUCCUGGCCAACCUAAGUGAGCUGCUCUGCUGAGCCAUGGCUUUCCCAUCAUGAAUGAAUGAAGCUUCCAAGACUAUGAGCCCAAGUCAAUCUCUCCUCCGUAACAGCAAGCUAACAUAAAACUUCUGUAUUGCUCAUUCAAAAAAGGUCCCAAAUGCUCUCCUAAUCUCUAAGUCCUUUAUUUCUCUUUUGCCUUUUUGAAUUAGUAACAGGCACCAUGUUGAUUAGAAGUGAUCAGGAGUGUGUUCUUGCCUCCCAUUCUUGAGGGAAAACAUUCAGCUCCUUAUCACUGUUUGAGUUUUUUUUUUUUAAUUGCAUUCUUCUGUAGAUGUAACAAUGUAAUACUGUGUUCAUCUAAACAAAGUUCUCAUAAAAAGUAAGUGCAGUAGGAAAUUGUGACUGGAUGAACUGCAAAUAGGAGCAGGAAACCUGUUUUUUACUUUUAAGACAGCUUUUUAUAGGACAGGCUGAUCUUGAAUUCACAAUACUCCUGCCUUGGCUUCCCAAAUGUUAUGAUUACAGAUGUACAUUACACCACCUAGCUUAGGACUGGGGAAAAAAUUAAAUUCUUCUCUUCCAAAGAGAGAAGUCAAAAGAUUAUACCUAAAAACCCAGAAAAUAUCCACUUAUAUGUGUUACUUAGAAGUAAGCUGAGAACCCACAGUCACCAGCACAGGGAGGUGGAAGCCCUGAGGCUGCAGCGUUCAUGUGCAUCUCGAAGCCUCAUUGAUGUUUGCAUGCAAUGAUUCUUGACCUUUGUAAGCAAAGAUUCUGUGACUUUUUGGUGUUUAUGUAUAACUG